rnacentral:rRNA from 1 species
UACGAAGGAUGCAAGCGUUGGCCGGAUUUAUUGGGUCUAAAGGGUGCGUAGGCGGCCUAUUAAGUUAGUGGUGAAAACGUUCGGCUCAACCCCGGAAUUGCAUUUGAAACUGCAUUUCUUGAGGGUAAGCGGGGGAAACGGAAUUCCCCGUGUAGCGGUGAAAUGCGUAGAUAUGUGGAAGAACACCGGUGGCGAAGGCGGUUUCCUAGCUUAUUCCUGACACUGAAGCGCGAAAGCGAGGGGAGCAAACAGG